AGAGUUUGAUCCUGGCUCAGAACGGACGCUGGCGGCAGGCCUUAUACAUGCAAGUCGGACGCGAUUAUUGUGCUUUUGUAUGAUAAUUGAGUGGCGGACGGGUUAGUAACGCGUGGGAACAUACCAUACACUGGGGAAUAACUGCUGGAAACAGUGGCUAAUACCGCAUACGCCCUAUGGGGGAAAGAUAUAAUCGGUGAAUGAUUGGCUCGCGUUAGAUUAGCUAGUUGGUUGGGUAAUAGCCUACCAAGGCGACGAUCUAUAGCUGGUUUGAGAGGAUGAUCAGCAACACUGGGACUGAGACACGGCCCAGACUCCUACGGGAGGCAGCAGUAGGGAAUAUUGCACAAUGGGGGCAAGCCUGAUGCAGCGACGCCGCGUGGGGGAUGACGGCCUUCGGGUUGUAAACCUCUUUCGCCAUCGACGAAGGUUCGGGUUUUCUCGGAUUGACGGUAGGUGGAGAAGAAGCUCCGGCUAACUUCGUGCCAGCAGCCGCGGUAAU
rnacentral:rRNA from 1 species